rnacentral:lncRNA from 1 species
CUCAUUCGGAAGUAUCAAGGUAGUUGCAUGACGUCUGCAGUCCUGAUUUUCCCACUCUAUCUUAUGAUUCAUUUCUGCAUCUCUUUAGAACGAUAUGUAGCAGGUUGAUACUCAUGUAUUAGAGGCUCAGACUUGUGACACCAGAUUCUUCGGGCUGUGUAGUAGUGUUGGUAUUUGGGAUUUCCGCAUGUUUUAACUCUAUUUAUGAAUUUCAGUAUGAUGACUUAGUAAUUUAUAUGUGUUAAUUAAUUCAUGAACUGUAUAAAAAAAUUGUUGAGGUAUUGAAUUGGUCGGGCUUGCCUGGCAGUGUGUCGGGCGCUAUCACGACGGGGGUUGGGUCGUGACAAGUCCACAAUAUCACCCCAAAAUCCGGAAACUCACGGGAACGCAAGCUAGAAGAAUACAGUAAUUGCUCUAAUCUCCAGAAUGUCUACAACAAAAGUACGAUAGAAGGCAAAACACUACAAGAUAGAGUAAAGUAGGAGACUUUUCGGUCUCCGGACGCGAAAGAUAUACCUCGAAGUCACUGUAGCUCUCCUUAUCUCAUGGAUAAUGCGCCUGGGUGGAGAUACCUGGAUCUGCACAUGAAAAACAUGCGCAUAAGGGGCAUGAGUCCACCGCAACGAUAUUCAGUAAGUGCCAAGCCUAACCUUGGUCGGGUAUUGAUGAGGAAAGUUAGGGCCCUACUGAGAAUAAACAUAGUAAUAAAAAUCUUGCAACAAUAUGAAAUAAACAGAAAUAAUGAGUACAACUAUGAAGUAAGACAAGUUAUACAAGGCAACAAACAAUAUGCAGUAGAUAAGGUAACACGGAGUAAACAACUUCGUAUCAGUAUCAACAAUGAGGAUCUCCCAGGAUACCGUCCUGUAGUCCAUCGUAUGUAAAUAUCUAAAGGAUCUCCCGGGAUACCGUCCCAUAGUCACACUAUCAACGUCCAGGGGGAUCUAUCAAGAAUUGAACCCACAGUCCCAAAGUAAAUGUGCAGGGGGAUUUAACGGGAAUCUAACCGUAGUCCCAAAGUAAAUAUGCAGGGGGAUCUACCGGGAAUCUAAUCCUAGUCCCAAAGUAAACAAAUAGGGGGAGGGGGGGGAGCUACCGGAGUCCCAUAUCCGUAGUCCCAAUAUAAAUACGCAGCCACAACAAGAAGGUAUUCAGCAAUGAAGUUCAAGAAAUACAAGGCAACGGGUAGUUCUAGCCUAACAUGCUUCACGUAGUACAAACAAAGCAACUUAAGCAAAUAGGCAAUUUAGAUCAACUAAGCAUACUUUUCUAAAAUAACACAAGCUAUAAUUUCAAAUAGAAUAAAGCAGGUAAGAAAGGAACUCAAUCUAAAUAAUUAAGUAAAACCGGAUUUUUCAACAAUUAGCUCAAGUACGCGCUCGUCACCUCACGUACAGGGCAUCCAAUCACCAAACAUCGUAUCCUAAGGGGAAAGUCCUCCACACAAGGUUAGACAUGCCAUUUACCUUGAUCUAGCUCCAAAAUCAACUCGAAAUCACACUUUUUCCACGAGUAUCUGACUCCAAAUUGCCCAAAUCUAUUCAAUUCAAUUACAUAUCGUAAAUAACAUCUCAAGAAACUGAUUCUACUAUUUAAUUCAAAGCUAAGGCGCGAAAUUAGGUAAAAUAACCAAAACUCCCCAUAGGCCAACGUCUUGGAAUCGAAAAUUUUUCACGUUUUCAAAACCCUCGUACACUCGCGAGUCUACCAUAUAAAAAUCUCUCAAAUCAGAGGUUAAACACCCACUCAAAGCUCAAUAAUUUGGUCUAUGAAGUUUUACCCAUUUUUCAUUUUCAUGAUUAGAUUACUGGGGUUUAAGCAUAAGAGAGUAGAGCAUCGUUACCCAGUAGUUGUCCUAAAAAAUCCCUCGAAAUUUCUCCCAAAUCGAGCUCCCAAGCGUGUGUUUUGAUAAAAAUAGCUAACCCUCGGAUUUUAAUAUGUUUAUAUCUGUACAGGUAUUCAAAGCAUCACAAACGGGGAGGCAAUCUCGCGUUCCCAAAUAAGGAAAAAGGAAGGCUAUCAAAAAUGCCCCCCGUGAACGCGAUAAAGAGUCCGCAAACGCGAAGGCCUGGGCUGGUGAAGCUAUGUGAACGUGACCAAGGUAUUGCGAACGCGUUGAGUAAAACUAAGCAUCAGCCCUCAGAGUCCAAUAAAGCUAUGCGAACGCGAUGCCUUAGACACGAUCACAAUUGAGGAAGACGUGAAGCUUCGCGAACACAAUGAACUAAGCGCGAACACAUUGAGGAAACUGGUCCUCCUCCAGGAUUACUCUACACGAACGCUCGGAGGAGCAUGCAAAUGCAUAGAAUGAGAAGGUCAAAACUUCGCGAACGCGAUAGGAGCAUCAUGAACACGAAGAAGGAAAUGGGACCUGCAACUGCUGAAGGAUUUCUGCAACUUUUUCCAACUCCAUAAUGCUCCGUUGAGCAUCCGAAACACACCCGAGGCACCCGGGACCUCAACCAAAGCUACAGACAUAUCUCAUAAUAUCAUUCAAACUUGUACCAAUCCUUAAACCACCUAAAACAACGCCGGAAACUCGAAUUAAUCAAGGAUUUAAACGUAUGAACUCCAAAUUCCCUCAAAAUAUGUUUUCGAUCAAAAACCUAAUCAAAACAUGUCUAUGUCUAGCAAACUCAAAUUAAUCUAUGAUUCAAGCCAAAGGACUUCAAAUUCUCUCAAAACACGCUUUCGAUAAAAAAUCUAACCAAAACAUGUCCGAAUGACCUGAAAUUUUGCACACAUAUCCCAAAUGACAUGACGGAACUACUGCAACUUCCGGAACUCCAUUCUGACCCUCGGAUCAAAAUCUCACCUAUCAUUCAGAAACUUAAAAAAUCAAACUUCGGCAUUUUAAGCCUAAAUUGGGUACAGACCUCCAAAACACAUUCCGAACACGCUCCCAACCCUGAAAUCACCUAACGAAGCUUCUAGAACCAUCAGAUUUCCAUUCCGAGGCUGUCUUUACACUAUUAUGACUAGGGACAACUUUCCAACACUUCAGCUCUCAAUUAGGGACUAAAUGUCCCAAAAACUCUCAGAAACUCAAUACCGAACGUCCUGGAAAAUCAAAUAAGUGGAAAUAAACUUAGGGAAAGGAGUUAAUAUGGGAUCAGGGCAUUAAUUCUUAAGAUGACCAGCCGGGUUGUCACAUCUUCCUACACUUAAACAUUCGUUCGUCCUCGAACGAGCAUAAAGACAUACCUGAAGUAGUGAAAAGGUGAGGGUAACUGCUGCACAUAUCUUGCUCGGUCUCCCAGGUCUCCUCUUCGGCCGGGUGACCCCGCCGCUGAACCUUUACUGAAGCAAUGUUCUUUGACCUUAACUUUCGGAUCUUCCUGUCCAAUAUAGCAACUGGCUCCUCCACAUAAGAUAGAUUAAUAUUCAACUGGACUAAACUGAAAUCCAACACGUAUGACGGGUCACCGUGAUACCUCCGGAGCAUCAAAACAUGAAAUACUGGAUGAACCCCUGCCAGGCUGGGAGGUAAGGGAAGCUCAUAAGAAACCUCCCCAACGCACCUCAAUAUCUCAAAAUGUCAAUUGAACCUCGGACUCAACUUCCCUUUCUUCCCAAACCUCAUGACGCCCUUCAUAGGCGAGACUCGGAUCAGAACCAGCUCUCCAACCAUUAAUGAAACAUUAUGAACCUUUCGGUCUACAUAUCUAUUUCGUCUGGACUGGGCUGUACGGAGUCUAUCCCGAAUUACCUUGACCUUUGCUAAAGCAUCCUGAACCAAAUUUGUGCCCAAUAGUUCGGCCCUGCCCUACUCGAACCUACCCACCGGGGAUCUACACUGCCUACCAUACAGGGCCUCAUACGGUGCCAUCUGAAUGCUGGACUGGUAGUUGUUGUUGUUAACAAACUCCGCCAAUGGCAAAAACUGAUCGCAAGACUCUCCAAACCCAAUAACGCACGAGCGAAGCAUAUCCACAAGAAUCUGAAUAGUGCGCUGGAACUGUCCGUCCAUCUGGGGGUGAAAUGCUAUGCUCAACUACACCCGAGUACCCAACUCCUGCUGAACGACCCUUCAGAACCAUGAUGUGAACUGAGUACCUCUGUUUGAAAUAAUAGAAAUUGGAAUACCAUGUAGACGGACAAUCUCUCUAAUAUAAAUCUCUGCCAACCGAUACGAAGAAUAAGUGGUGCACAUAUGAAUGAAAUGAGCGGACUUGGUCAGUUGAUCCACAAUAACCCAGAUAGCAUCAAACUUCUUCAAGGUCCAUGGGAGUCCGACUACAAAAUCCAUGGUGAUCCGCUCCCACUUCCACUCCGGAAUCUCUAUCCGCUGGAGCAACCUACCUGGUCUCUAGUGCUAGUACUUCACCUGCUGGCAGUUGAGGCAUUUAGCUACAUAUCCUACUAUAUCCUUCUUCAUCCGCCUCCACCAGUAGUGCUGCCUCAAGUCCUGAAUCUUCGCAACAACCGGAUGGAUGGAAUACCGCGAACUGUGGGCCUCAUCAAGAAUCAGCUCCCAUAGCCCAUCAACAUUAGGUACACAAACCCGACCCUACAUCUUCAACACUCCAUCCUCGCCAAUGGCCACAUCUCUGGCAUCGCCAUGCUGAACCUUGUCCUUAAGGACAAGAAAAUGAGGCUCAUCAUACUGCCGCUCCCUAAUACGAUCAAAUAAUGAAGACCGAGAAACCACGCAAGCUAGAACCCGAUUAGGCUCUAAAAGAUCCAAUCUCACAAACUGGCUGGCUAUGGCUUGAACAUCCAUUGCCAUAGGCCUCUCUGAUACUGGUAGAUAUGCGAAACUCCCCAAACUCUCCGCUCGAUGACUCAAGGCAUCAGCCACUACAUUGGACUUUCCCGGAUGAUAUAAAAUAAUGAUGUCAUAAUCCGUUAGCAACUCUAGCCACCUCCUCUAAUGCAAAUUUAGAUCCUUUUUCUUGAACAAAUGUUGCAAACUCCUGUGAUUAGUAUAAAUAUCACAAGGCACACCAUAGUGAUAAUGGCACCAAAUCUUCAGGGCGUGAACAAUGGCAGCUAACUCAAGAUCAUGGACAUGAUAAUUCUUCUCGUGUAUCUUUAACUGUCUGGAUGCGUAGACAAUCACCCUAGCGUCCUACAUCAAUAUUGCUCUAAGGCUAACUCUCGAGGCAUUACAAUAGACGGUAUAAGACCCUGAACCUAUAGGCAACAACAAAACUGGUGCUGUAGUCAAAGUUAUCUUAAGCUUUUGAAAGCUCGUCUCACACUCCUCGGUCCAUUGAAAUGGAGCACCUUUCUGGGUCAGUCUAGUCAUAGGGGCUGCAAUCAAUGAAAACCCCUCCACCAAACGACGGUAGUAGCCCACCAAGCCAAGGAAACUACGAAUCUCUGUAGCUGAGGACGGCCUGAGCCAACUCUGCACAGCCUCUACCUUUUUUGGAUCCAUCCGAAUGCCCUCAUUUGAUACCACGUGGCCUAAGAAUGCCACUGAAUCCAACCAAAACUCACAUUUUGAGAACUUCGCAGAUAACUUCUUCUCUCUUAGAGUCUGGAGCACUGUAAUCAGAUGCUACUCAUGAUCUUCCUGACUCCGGGAAUACACCAGAAUAUCUUUACUAAAGACAAUGACAAAAAAAUCGAUAUACGGCCUGAACACACUGUGCAUCACAUGCAUAAAAGCUGUUGGGGCAUUGGUCAGCCCAAAUGACAUAACAAGCAACUCGUAAUGGCCAUACCGAGUCUUGAAGGUGGUCUUCGGAAUAUCUGGCUUCUAAAUCUUCAACUGAUGGUAAACUGAGUGCAAGUCAAUCUUUGAGAACACCCGUGUGCCCUGAAGCUGGUCAAAUUGAUCAUUAAUACGAGGCAAAGGAUAACAGUUCUUCACUGUAACCUUGUUCAACUGACGAUAAUCGAUGCACAUACGCAUAGAACCAUCCUUUUUCUUCACAAAUAAGACAGGAGCACCCCAAGGUGAAACACUAGGUCAAAUAAAACCCUUAUCAAGCAAUUCCUGCAACUGAUCCUUCAACUCAGGAUGAGCUAUACGAUAUGGAGGGAUAGAAAUGGGUUAAGUGCCCGACAACAAAUCAAUGCCAAAAUCAAUGUCUCUACUAGGUGGCAUGCUCGGAAGAUCAACUGGAAAUACAUCGGGAUAAUCCUGCACCACUGGGACUAAAUCACGCACCAUUGGGAGUGAAUCAACAGAAGGGGUAUCAACACCGACAUCUCUCACAUAAGCUAAAUACACGCCAAACCCCUUCUUAACCAUACGCUGAGCUUUAAGAAAAAAGAUAACUCUGCUGGGAGUGUGAUCUAAAGUACCACUCCACUCAACACACGGUGCACUUGGCAUAGCCAGUGUCACGGUUUUGGCGUGACAAUCAAGAAUAGUAAAAUGGGACAACAACCAGUCCAUACCCAAAAUAAUAUCAAAAUUCACCAUGCUGAGUAGCAAUAAGUCUGCUCUGGUCUCAAAACCACAAAUAGUAACCAAACAUGACUGAUAAACGCGGUCCACAACAAGUGAAUCCCCUACGGGAGUAGAAACAUAAACAGGGGAACUCAAAGAAUUCCAAGAUACACCCAAAUGCGGAGAAAAUAAGAUGACACAUAAGAGUAAGUAGAACCUGGAUCGAAUAGAACCGAUGCCUCUCUGUGGCAAACGAAUAUAAUACCGGUGAUAACAGAAUCAGAGGCAACAGCCUCGACAUGAGCAAGAAGGGCAUAAUAUCUGGUCUGGCCUCCCCCUCAGGUAAACCUCUACCUCCCCGGCCUCUAACUCUAGCUGGCUUAGCGGGUGGGAGGCAACUGGAUUUGUAACCAUAGCUUGGGAACUCUACGGGGCACGUUGUGGCUGAGAAGUCUGUGAAGUUGCACCACUCCCAAGUCUGGGGCAAUACCUAACCAUGUGGCGCGUGUCACCACACUCAAAACAAGCUCUAGGGGGAUGUGGCAGCUUUGACCGGCUAGGGCCAGAUCUGCUAGACUGACCUCUGAAUGCACCCCGCGCAGGAGGCGCACUAGAAACCAGAGGUGUAUAGUAAAGUUCCUAAGGUCUGGGGGGAGCUGGAGCUGGAGCACUGCUAGCUGCUGGAAGAGCUGAAUGAAUGGGGCGACCCAUAUAGCCCCUAUCAUGACGACCUGUACGGGCACCAGAAUAGUGGCCUGACUCUCAAGACCUUUUGGCCUCUCUUUCCCUAGCAUGCAUACCCUCGAUCCUCCUAGCAAUGCUCACCACAUGCUAAUAAGAAGCAUCCAUCUUCAACUCAUGAGCCAUGCUAGAACUGAUACUAGGAAUAAGUCCCUCAAUAAACCGAUAAACCUUCUUGCGAAUAGUAGCAACUAAGGCUGGUGCAUGCCUAGCAAAGCCGGUAUAACAAACAAUAUACUUUGAACAAUCAUAGCACCCUAGCGCAAAUGCUCGAACUCUGCACGCCUUGCAUCCUUGAGGCUAUGAGGGGCAUACUCUCGUAGGAUCAACUCUGAGAACUAAGCCAAGUCAGUGAAGCGACAUCAUCUGGACUGUCUAACUCAUAGGUACGUCACCACUCAUAGGCGGCCCCUCAAAGCUGGAAGGUGGGGAAAGAAACCACGCUGGAUCGUGAUAUUCCCAUGGUACAGAGAAUACGGUAACACUCAUCAAGAAAACCCAAAGCAUCCUCCGAUGCUAGACCGCUGAAUACAGGAGGCUUGUACUUCUUGAACCUCUCAAGCCUCAGCUGCUCAUCCUCGGAAGCUGCUGCUCUGCCCCAAGGUUGAUCUAGUACCUCCAGCGGCGUAGGCAUAACCUCUGGGACCUGCUCAACAUGCGCUCGCUGCUCAGGAGUGCAGGCGGCGAGAGUCUAUGCUCCUUCCCCAGCCUGAGAUAUGGCUGCAGCAAGGGAAAGCAACCCUGCCUGAGUCAAGGUAGUGUACAUGCUUAUGAACCGUGCCAGAGUAUCCUCGAGAGCUGGAGCAGUGGUAGCAGUAGGCGUGUCAGGUGCGUGGACUCCGGCUGGACUUGCUGACUGUACCUCAGCAUCAGAUCGCCCAGGUGCUCUGGCUGCACCACGUGUGCGUCCUCGGCCUCUACCCUGGCCCUGGCAUCUAACGGCUGCAGUAGGGGGCGCGAGUGCCUAAUCAUUAGCACGUGUACUCACUAUUUAUGAGAGAAUAGAAAGAUAGAAUUUAAUUGUGGUAUCAAAAACCUCACACGACAAGGAAAUAAAAUGAAGUGAAAUUUUCUUAGCAGUUACAUAACGUCUCGUAGAUAAGUACAUACGUCUCCGUACCGGUCAACGAGACUCUAAUAAACCGGCAUGUGUUCUGUAACUCCUAUUAACCUAGAGCUCUGAUACCAACUUGUCACGACCUUAGUUCCCCCUCCAUGAACAUGUCGUGAUGGCACCUAGUCCCUACAACUAGGUAAGCCUAACAAUGCAAAAAUUAUAACUUAUAACAAAUAAUAUGUGAAAAAUUAUGACUCAAAACCCAAAUGCAUCAAAAUGAAACGCGGAAUGUAAAAUGCCACUCGGCACAUACAACUCAAUAAUGCGGAAGUCUACAAUAUCACCUCAAAACCUAGAAAUUCACGGGAACACAAGCUAGAUGAAUACAGUAAGUGCUCUAAUCUCUAGAAUGUCUACAACAAAAAUAUGAUAUAAGGCUAAACACUACAAGAUAGAGUAAAGAAGGAGACACUUCGGUCUGUUCACGCGUCAAAUAUACCUCGAAGUCUCCAUAGCUCUCCCUGUCUCAAGGAUAAUGCGCCUGGGUGGAGGUACCUGGAUCUGCACAUGAAAAAUAUGCACAAAAGGGGCAUAAGUACACCACAACAAUACUCAGUAAGUGCCAAGCCUAAACUCGGUCGGGUAGUGCCGAGGAAGGUCAGGGCCCUACUGAGUAUAAACAUAGUAACAAAAAUCUUGCAACAAUAUGAAAUAAAUAGAAAUAAUGAAUACAGCUAUGAAGUAAGACAUGUUAUAAAAGGCAACAAAAAAUACGCAGUAGAUAAGAUAACAUAGAGUAAACAACUCAGUAUCAGUACCAACAACGAGGAUACCGUUCGUAGUCCAUCAUAUGUAUAUAUCUGAAGGAUCUCUCGAGAUACCGUCCUGUAGUCCAACUAUCAAUGUGUAGGGGGAUCUAUCGGGAAUCGAACCCGCAAUCCCAAAAAAAUGUGCAGAGGAAUCUACCGGGAAUCUAACCCGUAGUCCCAAAGUAAAUAUGUAGGGGGAUCUAACGAGAAUCUAACCCAUAGUCCCAACAUAAACAAACAAGGGGGGAUGGGGGNNNNNNNNNNNNNNNNNNNNNNNNNNNNNNNNNNNNNNNNNNNNNNNNNNNNNNNNNNNNNGGGGGGGGGGGGGGGGGGGGGAGCUACUGGAAUCCCACAUCCGUAGUGCCAAUGUAAAUACGCAGCAACAACAAGAAGAUAUUCAACAAUGAAGUUCAAGAAAUACAAAGCAACAUGCAAUUCUAGCCUAACAUGCUUUACGUAGUACAAACAAAGCAACUUAAGCAAACAGGUAGUUUAGAUCAACUAAGCACGCUUUUCUAAACUAACACAUGCUAAAAUUUCAAAUAGAAUAAAGUAGGUAAGAAAGGAACUCAAUCUAAAUAUUUAAAUAAAAUUGGAUUUUUCAAUAAUUAGCUCAAGUACGCGCUCGUCGCCUCACGUAUAGGGCAUCCAAUAACCAAACAUCGUAUCCUAAGGGGAAAGUUCCCCACACAAGGGUAGACAAGCCACUUACCUCGAAUCGGCUCCCAAAAUCAACUCGAAAUCAUACCUUUACCAUGAGUAUCCGGCUCCAAAUGACCCAAAUCUAUUCAAUUCAAUUACAUAUCAUAAAUAACAUCUCAAGCAACUGAUUCUACUAUUUAAUUCAAAGCUAAGGUGCAAAAUUAGGUAAAAUAACCAAAAUUUCCUCAAGCAACGUCUUUGAAUCGAAAAAUUUUCACGUUUUCAGAACCCUCGUACGCUCACGAGUCUAACCAUAUAAAAAUCUCUAAAAUCGGAGGUCAAACACCCAUUCAAAACUCAAUAAUUUGGUCUAUGAAGUUUUACCCAUUUUUCAUUCGAAAAUCCAAAAAUUAGGGUGGAUUCUUGAUUAGAUUAGUGGGUUUUAAGCAUAAGAGAGUAGAGAAUCGUUACCCCGUAUUUGCCCUCAAAAAUCCCUCGAAAUUUCUCCCAAAUCCGAGCUCCCAAGCAUAUGUUUUGAUAAAAAUGGCUAACCCUCAGAUUUGUAUAUGUUUAUAUCUGUCUAGGUAUCAAUGCAUCACGAACGCGGAGGCAAUCUCGCGUUCGCGAAGAAGGAAAAAGGAAGUCUGUCAAAAAUGCCCUUUGGGAACGCGAUGAAGAGUCCGCAAAUGCAAAGGCUUGUGCUGGUGAAGCUAUGCGGACGCGACCAAGAUAAUGCGAACGCAUUGAGUAAACAUAAGCAUCAGCCCUCAAAGUCAAAUAAAACUAUGCGAACGCGAUGCCUUAGAUGCGAUCAUGAUUGAGGAAGAUGUGAAGCUUCGCGAACGCGAUGGACUAAGCAUGACCGCAUUGAGGAAACUGGUCUUCCUCCAGGAUUACUCUAUGCGAACGUGUGGAGGAGGACGCGAACGCGUAGAAGAAGAAGGUCAGAACUUCACAAACGCAAUAGGAGCAUCGCGAAUGCCAAGAAGGAAAUGGGACCUGCAACUGCUGAAGGAUUUCUGCAACUUUUCCCAACUCCAAAAUGCUCCAUUGAGCAUCUAAAACACACCGGAUGCCACCGGGACAUCAACCAAACCUACAGACAUACCCCAUAAUGUCAUUCAAACUUGUAUCAAUUCUUAAACCACCUAAAACAAUGCCAGAAACUCAUUUUAAUUAAUGAUUCAAGCCUAAGAACUUCAAAUUCUCUCAAAACACGCUUUCAAUAAAAAACCUAACCAAAAUGAGUCCGAAUGACUUGAAAUUUUACACACAUAUCCCAAAUGACAUGACGGAACUACUGCAACUUCUGGAUUCCAUUCCGACCUUCGGAUCAAAAUCUCACCUAUCAACCGGAAAAAUAGAAAAUUCAAACUUCGGCAUUUUAAGCCUAAAUUGGCUACAGACCUCCAAAACACAUUCCGAACACGCUCCCAACCUGAAAUCACCUAACGAAGCUAAAGAAACCAUCAGAUUUUCAUUCCGAGGCCGUCUUCACACUGUUCUGACUAGGGACAACUUUCCAACACUUAAGCUCUCAAUUAGGGACUAAGAGUCCCAAAAACUCUCCGAAACUAAAACCUGAAAGUCCUGGAAAAUCGAAUAAGUAGAAAUAAACUCGGGGAAAGCAAUUAAUAGGGGAUUGGGGCGUUAAUUCUUAAGACAACUGGUCGGGUCGUCACAGUUUUGCAUUUUUGAAGAGUGGCCACCUAAUGAUUUAUGAUGCAUUAAGACACCUACAAGGUUCACUUUUAAGUUUUCUUGAUGACUAGAGAUAGGGUAAGGGCUUGAAAUUAUCAUAACGAGAAGAUGUUAGGCAUCCCUCAGGAUCCACUGGUGUGGUUCCCAGCCAGAUAGUUCUUUUUGAAUUUGGUGCGAUUAACAUGUAAACAUAUAAGGCUCAAAUAAGAGAGGAUUUUAAUACACAAAUGUUUGAAAGUACAACAAAGUUUGAAAGAUCGAUCACUAAAAGACUGAUUUUGACAAGAAGUUAUAAGGCUUUAAAGGAAAAGGAAAAAGAGGAAGGGGUCCUAGGUUUAUUUAUAAUAUGGAUCACAUCAAUACCCGGUAAUCACUCUUAAAAAGAGGGGCUACAUAGGUCAUCACAUCCAUAUCCACCCUUCCCAUCCUGUUUAAGGUACUAAAGCGCGUAUUUGUCUCGAUCAUUAUUACAUGAUAUUAUCCGUCCCAUUUUUAUAAAUCCCGGAGGCACUUAGGACUACUACUCGUAAAAGGGAGGGAUAUUAGGUUGACUUUGAAUUUUUAAAGGUAAAAAAGCUAAGGCAACAUACAAAGCACAUAGGAUAACACAAUAAAAGGGGGAGCACAUAAAACACUAAAUGCUCACAUAUACUUCCUCAAACAAAGCAAUCAAAUAGCAUGACUAAAACAAUAAUUAAUGUCUGAAUCUAAAAUACUAAGGAAAGGGGAUUAUUAAGCUGUUGAAGCAGACCAAUUUAUUAUGUAACUUAGACAAGAAGUCUGAAUCAGGCCUGCGUGCUGGUUGUAGCAAAUACUAGUUAACAGAAAUGGGCUCAGUUUUUAUUUAUUAUUAUUACCUAAGACUUGCCUAAGUGUUUAGGUGAGCUCUUAUGAAUAUGGUAUCGAUUACUGAAUCAAAAUGUUACAAAGCAGUAACAACUAAAAAAACUGACGGUUUGAGAUCCUAUAGGCAUGCUUGAUAAACCGCAUUAAAAUAAGGAGAUUAUGUUACUAAAAGAAACUGGUUUAGAAUAAAACUGAUUUAAAUUAGACUAGUUUCAGAUUCUGCAGACGAUGGUGUCACACCUCCUUUUUUACACUACGACCCGCGAAGGUGUAGAAAAUGGAGCUUUUCCAAUUAAAGGAAAAUCAAAAUAUGAUUAUUUAUUUAUUUAAAUUCAGAGUCGCUACUUUGGAUAAUUAAUAGUGUCUCAAGUCACCGGUUUAAAAUGCCGAAUCGAGGCAGGUUUGACUCUGUAUUACAGUCUGCGAACCAGAAAUCCGGGUAAAGAAUUCUGUUAACCCGGGAGAAGGUGUUAGGCAUUCUCGAGUUCUAUGGUUCUAGCACGAUCGCUCAACUGUUAUAAUUGACCUAUUAUCUGAUUUAAAUACAUGUUUUAACCUAUGGUGCAAUUUUAAACCUUUAACCAUUUUUAUUCAUUUUUUUAAAAGAAAAUUGCAACGUCAUUUAAAAUAUAUCUUGAACCAACGUCACAUAAAUGUACCCGCAGUCCGUAGUACAUUUUAUAUAACAUUGUUGAGAUUUAGAUUUGGGUCAGGCAACUACCCACCCGAGUUUAAGAAAAUUAAUUUAAAUUGCACGCCUAAAGCAACUACACACUUUCAAGUUUACGAUGGUUGUGGAACAUUUGACUAAAAGGCACAUCUCGAUUUUAAAAGAGUUAUUACCAAUUAUCUGAGGAUCAUGGUUAUGGAAAUACUUUUACUAAAAGAGAUUUCAUGCUCAUUCCCUUUUAAAUUCGAUACUUCAUUCACUUAGACAAAAUCCAAUCCUAAAGCAUGUGAAGCAAGCUGAAAAUACUGUGGACUCAAAUCUUCCCCUUCCCAUAUACCCGUCAUGUUCCGCAUAAAUGUCCAAACAAAUAAAAUUGUCAUCCAGUAAAUAAACACUCAAACUAUUGAAAAGGAGAUCAAAUGAAUAGAUACACAAAAUUCAAGAAAUUAAAGCUAGAGGCGAAUAAGUGAGAAAUGUGCCGAAACCAUUAGAAGAGCCAUUAUAAUAUUCCGACCACCCCAAUUUCCGAAUCCUUCAAAUUAUUAGUUACUAAGGCUCAUUAUUAAUCAAACUUAGAUUUACAAUUUUAUCUUAACAAACCAAAUACUUGUCCUACUCACCAAAUCUUAAUCGAUUCUAAUCCCAAUAUUAGUAACGUGAAUAUCUCCAUCACAACCAACAUCUAACUACUACAAAUUGAAUUCCAAUUCCAUUUUUGAAAUGGCUCUUUCAAUAUUCAAUACAACACAUUAACAACGAACAAAUAGAAGAAAGGGAAGGGAUGCUAUGAACCUGUGUCCAGCAAAUAUUGUUCCGAAGUGCUAAGCUCAAACAGCAAAAGAAAAAUCGAGCCACAACCCAAAGAUCAAGCCGGCGACUACAAUUCGAACAACAACAGAAUCCCGAACCGCGGCUUUCGAACCUCAAGCGAGACAACUUCGAAGAGCACCUCAGUUCAAACAACCGCCAUAUUUGUAGCGCAAAUCAAAUAAGAAGAAGAAAUUCAAAAACGUUUUGGUAUUUUUUUACUGUUAAAAUUCAAAUAUCCACUGCCUUAAUAAAAGAGGAUCAUUUUAAAUUUCUCUGAUUUUCUGAAAUCUCCAAAGAAACGGAGGAUUAGAGAAGAAGAUGAAGUCAGGGGGUGGGUCUCGUCAGAAGCUGCGCCCUUCUCCUCAAAAUUUUUUUUCCUCCUCUAGGC